UCCCUGUAGUGCAAUGAAUAGCGCGUUGGACUUCUUAUCCAAAUGUCGUGGUUUCGAUUCCUACCUGGGUGGCUUAA